AUUGAACGCUGGCGGCAUGCCUUACACAUGCAAGUCGAACGGUAACAGGUCUUCGGAUGCUGACGAGUGGCGAACGGGUGAGUAAUACAUCGGAACGUGCCUAGUAGUGGGGGAUAACUACUCGAAAGAGUGGCUAAUACCGCAUGAGAUCUACGGAUGAAAGCAGGGGAUCGCAAGACCUUGUGCUACUAGAGCGGCCGAUGGCAGAUUAGGUAGUUGGUGGGUUAAAAGCUUACCAAGCCGACGAUCUGUAGCUGGUCUGAGAGGACGAUCAACCACACUGGGACUGAGACACGGCCCAGACGCCUACGGGAGGCAGCAGUGGGGAAUUUUGGACAAUGGGCGCAAGCCUGAUCCAGCAAUGCCGCGCGCAGGAUGAAGGCCUUCGGGUUGUAAACUGCUUUUGUACGGAACGAAAAGCCCUGGGUUAAUACCCUGGGGUCAUGACGGUACCGUAAGAAUAAGCACCGGCUAACUACGUGCCAGCCGCCGCGGUAA
rnacentral:rRNA from 1 species